rnacentral:rRNA from 1 species
GGAUGCGAUUCUCAUACCAGCACUAAAGCACCGGA